rnacentral:rRNA from 1 species
CAGUAGCCGCGGUAAUACGUAGGUGGCAAGCGUUAUCCGGAAUUAUUGGGCGUAAAGCGCGCGUAGGCGGUUUUUUAAGUCUGAUGUGAAAGCCCACGGCUCAACCGUGGAGGGUCAUUGGAAACUGGAAAACUUGAGUGCAGAAGAGGAAAGUGGAAUUCCAUGUGUAGCGGUGAAAUGCGCAGAGAUAUGGAGGAACACCAGUGGCGAAGGCGACUUUCUGGUCUGUAACUGACGCUGAUGUGCGAAAGCGUGGGGAUCAAACAGGAUUAGAGACCCCCGUAGUCCCUGUCUCUUAUAC